CCUACGGGAGGCAGCAGUGGGGAAUAUUGCACAAUGGGGGAAACCCUGAUGCAGCGACGCCGCGUGAGUGAAGAAGUAUUUCGGUACGUAAAGCUCUAUCAGCAGGGAAGAAAAUGACGGUACCUGACUAAGAAGCCCCGGCUAACUACGUGCCAGCAGCCGCGGUAAUACGUAGGGGGCAAGCGUUAUCCGGAUUUACUGGGUGUAAAGGGAGCGUAGACGGCAGCGCAAGUCUGGAGGGAAAACCCAGGGCUCAACUCUGUGGAUUGCGUGUGGAACUAUCAAGCUAGAGUGCUGGAGGGGUAAGCGGAAUUCCUAGUGUAGCGGUGAAAUGCGUAGAUAUUAGGAGGAACACCGGUGGCGAAGGCGGCUUACUGGACAGAAACUGACACUGAGGCUCGAAAGCGUGGGGAGCAAACAGGAUUAGAUACCCCAGUAGUC
rnacentral:rRNA from 1 species